CCUACGGGAGACAGCAGUGGGGAAUAUUGCGCAAUGGGCGAACGCCUGCCGCCUCGCCGCCGCUUUAGUGAUGAAGGUCUUCGGAUCGUAAACCUCUGUCAGCAGGGAAGAACGGUCACUGUGCUAAUCAGCAGUGAAUUGACGGUACCUGCAAAGGAAGCACCGGCUAACUCCGUGCCAGCAGCCGCGGUAAUACGGAGGGUGCGAGCGUUAAUCGGAAUUACUGGGCGUAAAGCGCUCGUAGGCGGUAUGUCAAGUCAAGGGUGAAAUCCCCGCGCUCAACGUGGGAACUGCCUUUGAAACUGGCAAACUGGAGUGUGUGAGAGGAUAGUGGAAUUCCAGGUGUAGGAGUGAAAUCCGUAGAUAUCUGGAGGAACAUCAGUGGCGAAGGCGACUAUCUGGCACAUAACUGACGCUGAGGAGCGAAAGCGUGGGUAGCAAACAGGAUUAGAUACCCUUGUAGUC
rnacentral:rRNA from 1 species